rnacentral:rRNA from 1 species
CCUACGGGAGGCAGCAGUGAGGAAUAUUGGUCAAUGGACGAGAGUCUGAACCAGCCAAGUAGCGUGAAGGAUGACUGCCCUAUGGGUUGUAAACUUCUUUUAUAUGGGAAUAAAAUGUUCCACGUGUGGGAUUUUGUCUGUACCAUAUGACUCAGGAUCGGCUAACUCCGUGCCAGCAGCCGCGGUAAUACGGAGGAUCCGAGCGUUAUCCGGGUUUAUUGGGUUUAAAGGGAGCGUAGGUGGAUUGUAAAGUCAGUUGUGAAAGUUUGCGGCUCAACCGUAAAAUUGCAGUUGAAACUGGCAGUCUUGAGUACAGUAGAGGUGGGCGGAAUUCGUGGUGUAGCGGUGAAAUGCUUAGAUAUCACGAAGAACUCCGAUUGCGAAGGCAGUUCACUGGACUGCAACUGACACUGAGGCUCGAAAGUGUGGGUAUCAAACAGGAUUAGAUACCCUUGUAGUC